CAACCCUACGGGAGCAGCAGUGGGGAAUAUUGCACAAUGGGGGAAACCCUGAUGCAGCGACGCCGCGUGAGUGAAGAAGUAUCUCGGUAUGUAAAGCUCUAUCAGCAGGAAAGAUAAUGACGGUACCUGACUAAGAAGCCCCGGCUAACUACGUGCCAGCAGCCGCGGUAAUACGUAGGGGGCAAGCGUUAUCCGGAUUUACUGGGUGUAAAGGGAGCGUAGACGGCGGAACAAGUCAGAAGUGAAAACCCGGGGCUCAACCCUGGGAGUGCUUUUGAAACUGUUUGGCUGGAGUGCAGGGGAGG
rnacentral:rRNA from 1 species